UCGGAUUGAAGGCUGAAAUUACGCCUUCCAUGAAGCCGGAAUUGCUAGUAAUGGCAGGUCAGCAUACUGCCGUGAAUACGUUCCCGGGCCUUGUACACACCGCCCGUCACACCAUGAGAGUUGGGAAUACCCGAAGCCUGUGAGCUAACUUUAAGAGGCAGCAGUCGAAGGUAGAAUCAAUGAUUGGGGUGAAGUCGUAACAAGGUAGC
rnacentral:rRNA from 1 species